ACUUCUCUGGUUUUUUUGGGUAAUAUUCCGGCCCAUCCCAGAUCUUCCCGACCCGGUAACCUACACGCUCCGGUUUUCUGAGCCACGAGGUCGACCCCGUGUAUUCUAUCGUGGAAAGGGGAGACGUGCGACCGAGGCGGCGACCGGCGGCGGGGAAAGGCGACGGCGGCGGGGCAAAUCAAGACGGCGCCGACGAGAUCCUCCUCCGGCGACUGGUCCCCGAUACCUGCACCUUGGCCUAUUGUUGGAUUGGAUCAGCCACCUCCAUCUUGGGAACUUGUGAGAACUCCUGUUUUUGUGCUAUAAUGAAUACACAAAGGCUAGAGCUUAUUAGGAAGAGGAGAGAGGAAGACGACGAGGAGUUCAUGUUCUUACUUUUACCAAUAUUGCACUAUCACAAAAGGAGUAGACGAGGGCAAGUAGAGAGAACACAGCGGCAUAGCUCCGUCUUGUAUGGCAUGCAACGUGUUCAAGGAAUCCUUGACGGACAUGUUAAGAAUUGCCGGGUAGCCUAUAGGAUGGAGCCACACAUUUUCAGAUCCUUAGCAUCCUAUCUUAGAAGAGAAAAAUUAUUGAAGGACAAAAGGAUUAAGGUUGAAGAAAAACUUGCUAUUUUCCUCUACAUGUUGUCACACAAUGCCUCUUUCGAAGACCUACAAUUGGAGUUCCAACACAGCAACCGUACCUUCCACAAGUGCAUAAGAGAGUUCUUCAACAUCAUCCCUGUCCUAAGUAGGCGAUUUCUGAAGCCUCCCAUUAU